rnacentral:rRNA from 1 species
UGUGUAGGCGGUCCUGUAAGUUUGGUGUGAAAUCUCCCGGCUCAACUGGGAGGGUGCGCCGAAAACUGCAGGGCUAGAGUGCGGGAUGGGAGAGUGGAAUUCCUGGUGUAGCGGUGAAAUGCGUAGAUAUCAGGAGGAACACCGGUGGUGUAGACGGCUCUCUGGACCGUUACUGACGCUGAAACACGAAAGCGUGGGUAGCAAACAGGAUUAGAUACCCUGGUAGUCCACGCCCUAAACGAUGCAUGCUUGGUGUGGGCCAUUCAUUUGGUCCGUGCCGGAGCUAACGCGUUAAGCAUGCCGCCUGGGGAGUACGGUCGCAAGGCUGAA